rnacentral:rRNA from 1 species
UACGAAGGGGGCGAGCGUUGUUCGGAUUUAUUGGGCGUAAAGAGCUCGUAGGCGGUUUGUCGCGUCUGCUGUGAAAACUCGGGGCUUAACCCCGGGCCUGCAGUGGGUACGGGCAGACUAGAGUGCGGUAGGGGAGACUGGAAUUCCUGGUGUAGCGGUGAAAUGCGCAGAUAUCAGGAGGAACACCGGUGGCGAAGGCAGCUCGCUGGGACGGUACUGACGCUGAGGCGCGAAAGCGUGGGGAGCGAACAGG